CCCUGCAGUUUGACAGCCCUCGUUUUUUCAUGUUUAAAAAAAACAAUUGAAAAGGGAAAAUACCAUAUACUGCAAAUGGUGGACCCGCGCUGGGCUUUUGCUGAGAGAGAGAGAGAGACCGAGAGUCUUCAUUUCCUGCUCCGCUACCCAUUUCAAUGGAGCCGGAAAGUGCCGGUAAACCGAGGAGAAGUAAAACGCUUUUGUGAAUGCUGGCGGGAAUUGGAAAGCGGAGAGUCGUAAAUAAAUGGCAGAUGGAGA